AGUGAAGUACUUCGUUUGCUAACAGUGGUUUUGGAUAACCAAUUUGGAUAUUAAGUUUUUGUAACAGUGAAUUGUUCGAGAAUCAUGGUCCUUCGUCUUUGGCGGACAUUUGUCAUCGUUUUAGUUUUGGACUUUCGGGCGGAAGGAGCCAUGACAUGGAGAGGAUCUCCCCUUUCAAG